rnacentral:rRNA from 1 species
UACAGAGGUCUCAAGCGUUGUUCGGAUUCAUUGGGCGUAAAGGGUGCGUAGGUGGCGGGGUAAGUCUGGUGUGAAAUCUCGGGGCUCAACCCCGAAACUGCACUGGAUACUGCCUCGCUUGAGUACUGGAGAGGAGAUUGGAAUUUACGGUGUAGCGGUGAAAUGCGUAGAUAUCGUAAGGAAGACCAGUGGCGAAGGCGGGUCUCUGGACAGUUCCUGACGCUGAGGCACGAAGGUCAGGGGAGCAAACGGG